rnacentral:rRNA from 1 species
GACUACUGGGGUAUCUAAUCCUGUUUGAUCCCCACGCUUUCGAGCCUCAGUGUCAGUAGUUCCGUAGCAAGCUGCCUUCGCAAUUGGUGUUCUAUGUCAUAUCUAAGCAUUUCACCGCUACAUGACAUAUUCCGCUUACCUCCAGAAUAUUCAAGACAAAUAGUAUCAAUGGCAGUUUCCGAGUUAAGCUCGGAGAUUUCACCACUGACUUACCUGCCCACCUACGCUCCCUUUAAACCCAGUGAAUCCGGAUAACGCUUGCACCCUCCGUAUUACCGCGGCUGCUGGCACGGAGUUAGCCGGUGCUUAUUCCUCUGGUACCGUCAAGUGGGAAAGAAUUCCCUUUUUUCGUCCCAGAUAAAAGAAGUUUACAACCCAGAGGGCCUUCAUCCUUCACGCGGCAUGGCUGGUUCAGACUUUCGUCCAUUGACCAAUAUUCCUCACUGCUGCCCCCCGUAGG